UACGAAGGUCCCAAGCGUUAUCCGGAUUUAUUGGGUUUAAAGGGUGCGUAGGCGGACUAUUAAGUCAGUGGUGAAAGCCCCCAGCCUAACUGGGGAACUGCCAUUGAUACUGAUGGUCUUGAGUACAUUUGAGGUGGGCGGAAUGUGUCAUGUAGCGGUGAAAUGCUUAGAUAUGUCACAGAACACCAAUUGCGAAGGCAGCUUACUAUGGUGUCAAUGACGCUGAGGCACGAAAGCGUGGGGAUCAAACAGG
rnacentral:rRNA from 1 species